rnacentral:rRNA from 1 species
CUUUCCUUCGGGACAGGGGAGACAGGUGGUGCAUGGUUGUCGUCAGCUCGUGUCGUGAGAUGUUGGGUUAAGUCCCGCAACGAGCGCAACCCCUAUCCCCAGUAGCCAGCAGUCCGGCUGGGCACUCUGAGGAGACUGCCAGGGAUAACCUGGAGGAAGGCGGGGAUGACGUCAAAUCAUCAUGCCCCUUAUGAUUUGGGCUACACACGUGCUACAAUGGCGUAAACAAAGGGAAGCAAGCCUGCGAAGGUAAGCAAAUCCCAAAAAUAACGUCCCAGUUCGGACUGCAGUCUGCAACUCGACUGCACGAAGCUGGAAUCGCUAGUAAUCGCGGAUCAGAAUGCCGCGGUGAAUACGUUCCCGGGUCUUGUACACACCGCCCGUCACACCAUGGGAGUCAGUAACGCCCGAAGUCAGUGACCUAACUGCAAAGAAGGAGCUGCCGAAGGCGGGACCGAUGACUGGGGUGAAGUCGUAACAAGGUAGCCGUAUCGGAAGGUGCGGCUGGAUCACCUCCUUUCUAAGG